CACCGGUUGUCAUAAUGGCCGAUCUGAUUGCAGAGGGGCUCCAUGUUGGGUUUUUUGAUUUGACCGUGGCAGCAAUCCCGGAAACAUGGGGACAUGCCAUAGAGGUUCCUGAGAUCAGAUUAUACAAUGGCGGCUCCUUUCCUUCUGGCGCCUCAGCCGUGUCAUUUGCUAUCCAUGCUGCAAGAAUAUUAACUCCUGGUGCUGCAAUAUCAGGCUGCAAGACAUUCAAUUUUAUAGCUUCAUCAAUAGCAGCUUAGGAAGAAACAAGUUCUGAAACAAUGAAGCAGACAAGGGUUACCUUGAGAAUGUUCUUUGGGAUGGUUGAAGGACCUCUAGAUGAGAAAUAUGCUAUGGUAGGUGCUGGUGUGUACUUUGUGGGUGAUGUAGUACGCAAGAUUGUGGCAACUGGGUUUCUACAAAUCUCAAAAUGGAUAAAAUUAGAAGUUUAAAACAUGAUCUAAUUGGGAUUAGUUUGACUAGGGUAGCUGUAUUACUUUGUUGAGUUGAUGUAGGAAAGAACCUUGGUGUUGUCCUCUGUACGGAUCACCGAUGUGGGAAAUGUACCAUAUGAGGAAGCGAGCUGUCUUGAUUCAUCAUCAAUCACGACUGCUCCAACACCUCCUAGCUUCUUCACUUCAUCCUUUUUCUCACUCACCGAGUAGAAGUUAUCUACAUGCUCACAUACAACAAUCUUUCCUUUGACGAGUUCUUGAUCCAAGGAAUCUGGGUGGCAGUUCCUAGAACAAAACGAGUGAUUGGAAUAACCAUUCAUUUCAUUUGGGGGGACUUUUGAAUGUCGGCAAAAUGAAUGCCUCCACCCUGUGUACGAGUUAAAAGAAGAGAAAUGACGAAUCCCACCGACUGAAAAACAAGAAAAAGGAUAAAGAAGAGGAUCACUACCUUAAUUACUGAGUUGUCACCUAGUAUAACAUCAGACUCAAAAUCCCGGUCAAUUGUGCUAGCGGCAACAGUUAUGAUCCAAGGUGCGGCAUUCACAACUGAUCCAGGGUCGGGUCCAUCAUUGCCUGCAGAGCAAACCACAGUAAUUCCAUGUUGCACCGCGUGGAAUGCUCCUAGGGCAAUGGGAUCAUCUGUGAUUUGUGGUUUUAUAAACGAUGAUGACCCAAGGGACAGUGAUAAAACAUCAACCCCAUCGGC